AACGCUAGCUACAGGCUUAACACAUGCAAGUCGAGGGGCAGCAGGGUAGCAAUACCGCUGACGACCGGCGCACGGGUGAGUAACACGUAUCCAACCUUCCCAUAACUCAGGGAUAGCCUUUCGAAAGAAAGAUUAAUACCUGAUAGUACUUAAGAAAGGCAUCUUUUUUAAGUUAAAGAUUUAUCGGUUAUGGAUGGGGAUGCGUUCCAUUAGAUAGUUGGUGAGGUAACGGCUCACCAAGUCUUCGAUGGAUAGGGGUUCUGAGAGGAAGGUCCCCCACAUUGGUACUGAGACACGGACCAAACUCCUACGGGAGGCAGCAGUGAGGAAUAUUGGUCAAUGGGCGAGAGCCUGAACCAGCCAAGUAGCGUGAAGGAUGAAGGUCCUAUGGAUUGUAAACUUCUUUUAUAGUAGAAUAAAGUGAUCCACGUGUGGAUUUUUGUAUGUAUACUAUGAAUAAGGAUCGGCUAACUCCGUGCCAGCAGCCGCGGUAAUACGGAGGAUCCGAGCGUUAUCCGGAUUUAUUGGGUUUAAAGGGAGCGUAGGCCGUCUGUUAAGCGUGUUGUGAAAUGUAGAUGCUCAACAUCUGAAUUGCAGCGCGAACUGGCAGACUUGAGUGUGCACAACGUAGGCGGAAUUCGUGGUGUAGCGGUGAAAUGCUUAGAUAUCACGAAGAACUCCGAUUG
rnacentral:rRNA from 1 species